rnacentral:rRNA from 1 species
UGGGGAAUAUUGGACAAUGGGGGGAACCCUGAUCCAGCCAUGCCGCGUGUGUGAAGAAGGCCUUUUGGUUGUAAAGCACUUUAAGCGAGGAGGAGGCUACCGAGAUUAAUACUCUUGGAUAGUGGACGUUACUCGCAGAAUAAGCACCGGCUAACUCUGUGCCAGCAGCCGCGGUAAUACAGAGGGUGCAAGCGUUAAUCGGAUUUACUGGGCGUAAAGCGCGCGUAGGUGGCCAAUUAAGUCAAAUGUGAAAUCCCCGCGCUUAACUUGGGAAUUGCAUUCGAUACUGGUUGGCUAGAGUAUGGGAGAAGAUGGUAGAAUUCCAGGUGUAGCGGUGAAAUGCGUAGAGAUCUGGAGGAAUACCGAUGGCGAAGGCAGCCAUCUGGCCUAAUACUGACACUGAGGUGCGAAAGCAUGGGGAGCAAACAGG